GUGAGGGAGGGUGUGACUAGUGACAGAGUGAGGGAGGGAGUGACUAGUGACAGAGUGAGGGAGGGAGUGACUAGUGACAGAGGGAGGGAUGGGGUGAAUAGUGACAGUCACCACCUCCUUCACUCUGUCACUGUGUCACCCCCUUCCUCACUCUGUCACUGUGUCACCCCUUCCUCACUCUGUCACUGUGUCACCCCUUCCUCACUCUGUCACUGUGUCACCCCUUCCUCACUCUGUCACUAGUCACCCACUCCCUCCCUCAC